rnacentral:rRNA from 1 species
GACGAACGCUGGCGGCGUGCUUAACACAUGCAAGUCGAACGGGAUUUAGUAAACAGAAGCCUCGGUGGAAGAUUACUAAUGAGAGUGGCGAACGGGUGAGUAACGCGUGAGCAACCUGCCUAUGACAGUGGGAUAGCCUCGGGAAACCGGGAUUAAUACCGCAUAAAAUCGUAGAAACACAUGUUUUAACGGUCAAAGAUUUAUCGGUCAUAGAUGGGCUCGCGUCUGAUUAGCUAGUUGGUGAGAUAACAGCCCACCAUGGCGACGAUCAGUAGCCGGUCUGAGAGGAUGAACGGCCACAUUGGAACUGAGACACGGUCCAAACUCCUACGGGAGGCAGCAGUGGGGAAUAUUGCACAAUGGGGGAAACCCUGAUGCAGCGACGCCGCGUGAACGAAGAAGGUAUUCGUAUCGUAAAGUUCUGUCCUAUGGGAAGAUAAUGACAGUACCAUAGAAGAAAGCUCCGGCUAAAUACGUG